CACGUAGUUAGCCGGUGCUUCUUCUACCACUACCGUCACCACCCUUCCAACCAGGUAGCUUCCUCGCGGUCGAAAGGAGUUUACAACCCGAAGGCCGUCAUCCCCCACGCGGCGUCGCUGCAUCAGGCUUCCGCCCAUUGUGCAAUGUUCCCCACUGCUGCCUCCCGUAGGAGUCUGGGCCGUAUCUCAGUCCCAAUGUGGCCGUCCACCCUCUCAGGCCGGCUACCCGUCGCCGCCUUGGUAGGCCAUUACCCCACCAACAAGCUGAUAGGCCGCGAGCUCAUCCCCAACCACUAGAAAAUCGUUUUCCACCACAGGCACCACCCUGCAGUCCUAUCGGGAAUUAGACCCAGUUCCCCAGGCUUAUACCCAAGUUGGGGGCAGAUCACUCACGUGUUACUCACCCGUUCGCCACUCGAGCCACCCGCAACUCCACGAAAGGGAACGCGACGGUCCUUUCCGUCGUACUUGCAUGUAGUUAAGCACGCCGCCAGCGUCGUCUCGUACGCGACGACGUACGAACUACGU
rnacentral:rRNA from 1 species